GAUUUAAGUGUUGAUGCCGUAGCAUGCAUGUAGAUAAUAUCCCCAUGAUCUAUAACAGACAUAAAAGUAGCUUGCACAAUGUGUCUUCUAUUUGUAGAGGACAAGCAUGUCCUGUUUCUAUAGAGGAAGCCGUUUACAAAGUUCAUCAACAUGAAUUUUAAAAGACAGUUCAUCAUCUAACCAUAUCACUAAGUAUUUAUAUGCAAAGACCUGAUUAAUUCAAGAACCAUCUAAACUCUUAAGUGCAAGUGUAUUUUCAACCAACUAAUAGUCAUUCGAUAUGGAUUUAAUACCCCAGUUGUCAUCACCCUAGAGAGUUAACAAUAGGGAUUCCUUUUGGAGAUGGCCUACCCAAAACCUUGAUUUUGGACAAAAUGACCUGAAUGGACAAUUACGUCCAAGGACAAACAAGAAAACACUUCUAACAAACCAAAACCUGCAAAAAAACACAGAGGAACCAGGAAAUACCAUCCAACACAAACUGAGUGAGUAAUAUUCAUUAUGAAGCUACUUCUGAAGGCAAAAAGUGAAAGAGAAUGAUCACUAGGUCAUUUUAAUAUAUAAAGCUAAGUAAAUAAGUAAACUAAGAUACCAAGCUGCUAGGACAGCACAGACCUGGUGGCACCUUCAAUUUGCACUGAAGUAUGAAGUCAGAGGUGUGAAAACUCUUGAGCCUAACCACGGCAGGAGAGUUUCACAGCCCCCCUCCACCCAAACGCAGAGGCCUUUGAAGCCCCAAUGGCUUUUCCCUGUCCAGAGAUCAUUACAAUACAGUACCACAUGGAUAUUAAAAAUAACCCUGUCCAGAGGUCAUUACAAUACAGUACCACAUGGAUAUUAAAAAUAACCCUGUCCAGAGGUCAUUACAAUACAGUACCACAUGGAUAUUAAAAAUAACCCUGUCCAGAGAUCAUUACAAUACAGUACCACAUGGAUAUUAAAAAUAACCCUGUCCAGAGGUCAUUACAAUACAGUACCACAUGGAUAUUAAAAAUAACCCUGUCCAGAGGUCAUUACAAUACAGUACCACAUGGAUAUUAAAAAUAACCCUGUCCAGAGAUCAUUACAAUACAGUACCACAUGGAUAUUAGAAAUAACCCUGUCCAGAGGUCAUUACAAUACAGUACCACAUGGAUAUUAAAAAUAACCCUGUCCAGAGAUCAUUACAAUACAGUACCACAUGGAUAUUAAAAAUAACCCUGUCCAGAGGUCAUUACAAUACAGUACCACAUGGAUAUUAAAAAUAACCCUGUCCAGAGGUCAUUACAAUACAGUACCACAUGGAUAUUAAAAAUAACCCUGUCCAGAGGUCAUUACAAUACAGUACCACAUGGAUAUUAAAAAUAACCCUGCAAGGAUUAGGUCCUCGAGGACAAUCCAGAGACACUAUUUGCUGACUGCUACAAAGAGGGGGAUGUAAUCAACUUAAUUUCCCACACAGACCAUCCCCUGGAAUGGCACAGUGCUAUAAGAGCACACUACCCCUAUGUCAAGAGAGGGGGUAUUGGCCCAGGGUGGAAACUCAGAAUACUAGACAUUGAGGGUAUUGAAACAACCUCUGUCAGCAUAUACAAGUUUGAUACAGUAAUGAUGCAGGGAAUCAUCAAGCAGUUCCAGCAGGACUUUUAUGGGAUCAAAGAGAGAGAACAACAUGGA